rnacentral:lncRNA from 1 species
CACACAUAAUACUCACUCUCACAGAUCAUUCAUACACAGUGUAAUAUACACACACAUUCAUGCACAAAAAGCUUCACAAACACAUAUCACCUUGACAGGAAUUCCAUACACAUAUACCCAUCAUUGAUGCACACACACAGUGAAGAAAUCGUGAGGGAAUGGAAGUAAAUUAGUGAGAAUCGAGAGAAUGAAGGGGGUUUGAUAGGGAUCCAGUAAAGAAGCGGUGAAAAUAUCCCGGGUUUAGAGUUUCUCCGAUGAAAUCUUUAUUGGAAUCGAUCCCAACUUUUCAAACUAUUACGCCCAGCCUCAAAAUCCCCUCCAAAUAUUUUUGUCUACUUGAUUUUUAGGCGAAAUCCCUCCGGAGAACAUUAAGGUCACUGGAAUCUAACUUGUGUCAUUGAUUUUCGUCGACGUCUAAGUUCACCGAAGCUCCGAUCACACAGGUUUCUCAAUUUUUCUUGUAAUUUUUUUGGGGUUCUCGAAUUGCUCGAUUCGUGUUUGUGGAUUUCUUUUUGGACUGUGUUUUUGGGAAUAGUCCGUGUUUGAAGUUUGGCUGAUAGUCGAGAUUCAUUAUUCGCUGAGGAUAUUUGGUAUGACUUUUUAUUCCCUUCAUAAAUUAAUCGUAAGUAUUCGGAAGGUCCAAUUCUAUCUUCUCUUCUUUUAAUUUUUACAUAAUUAUGAAUUAUUUGUGUGUUUGGCAUGUUUGAAUCUUCGUUGUGUGUUGGUUGAUGUUGGAU